UACGGAGGGUGCAAGCGUUAAUCGGAAUUACUGGGCGUAAAGAGUGCGUAGGUUGUUUAGUGUGUUAGAUGUGAAAUCCAUGGGCUCAACCUGUGAAUUGCAUUUAAAACUGCUAAGCUAGAGUGUUGUAGAGGGUGGCGGAAUUUCCAGUGUAGCGGUGAAAUGCGUAGAUAUUGGAAGGAACACCAGUGGCGAAGGCGGCCACCUGGACAAACACUGACACUGAGGCACGAAAGCGUGGGUAGCGAACAGG
rnacentral:rRNA from 1 species